rnacentral:rRNA from 1 species
UAAGACAGAGGGUGCAAACGUUGUUCGGAAUUACUGGGCGUAAAGCGUGUGUAGGCGGCCAUGUAAGUCGGAUGUGAAAGCCCCGGGCUCAACUCGGGAAGUGCACUCGAUACUGCGUGGCUUGAGUACUGGAGAGGUUGGUGGAAUUCUCGGUGUAGAGGUGAAAUUCGUAGAUAUCGAGAGGAACACCGGUGGCGAAGGCGGCCAACUGGACAGAUACUGACGCUGAGACACGAAAGCGUGGGUAGCAAACAGGAUUAGAUACCCUGGUAGUCCACGCUGUAAACGAUGGGUGCUAGGUGUCGCGGGCUUUGACUCCCGCGGUGCCGUAGCUAACGCAUUAAGCACCCCGCCUGGGAAGUACGGCCGCAAGGCUA